UACGAAGGGGGCUAGCGUUGCUCGGAAUCACUGGGCGUAAAGCGCACGUAGGCGGAUUGCUAAGUCAGGGGUGAAAUCCUGGAGCUCAACUCCAGAACUGCCCUUGAUACUGGCGGUCUCGAGUCCGUGAGAGGUGAGUGGAACUGCGAGUGUAGAGGUGAAAUUCGUAGAUAUUCGCAAGAACACCAGUGGCGAAGGCGGCUCACUGGCCCGGUACUGACGCUGAGGUGCGAAAGCGUGGGGAGCAAACAGG
rnacentral:rRNA from 1 species